GGAUCUCUGGUGCAAUAGGUAGUGCAUUAGACUUUUUGACAAUAAGUCAAGUAAUUCAAAGGUUGAGGGUUCGAGUCCCUCCAGAGUCG
rnacentral:tRNA from 1 species